CAACUUUUGACAACGGAUCUCUUGGCUCUCGCAACGAUGAAGAACGCAGCGAAAUGCGAUACGUAGUGUGAAUUGCAGAAUUCCGUGAAUCAUUGAAUCUUUGAACGCACAUUGCACUGUCUCUCGGGACAGUAUGCCUGUUUGAGAAUCGAC
rnacentral:rRNA from 1 species